rnacentral:rRNA from 1 species
UACGUAGGGUCCGGGCGUGUCCGGAAUUAUUGGGCGUAAAGGAGCUCGUAGGCGGUCUGUCGCGUCGGCUGUGAAAACACGGGGCUCAACCCCGAACUUGCAGUGGGUACGGGCAGACUAGAGUGUGGUAGGGGAGACUGGAAAUUCCUGGUGUAGCGGUGAAAUGCGCAGAUAUCAGGAGGAACACCGAUGGCGAAGGCAGGUCUCUGGGCCAUAACUGACGCUGAGAAGCGAAAGCAUGGGGAGCGAACAGGA